CCCUACAUUUCCACUUCCUGCUGCUUUUACCUUUCACCUCGUGACCUCUGGUUGUGAUGUCCGGUAUCCAUGGAAAUUGUCGCCCCUUCUGCCUUGUUACCUAACGGGGGGAUUGUAGUUUUCCAUUCACAGAUGCAACAGCACAGAGCAAGUGAGCAUUAUGCAGCCACUGGCUAUUGUGGAACUACAAGUCCCAGCAGUUGAGCACAAAGCAAAAUAUCUGUUUAUACAGCUUAAAAAUGGUGUCCUCCAUCCCUGCGCCUAUAGGCAGCUGGAUAACGUAAUUACAACGUGCAGGGGGACAGUCAGACGAGCAUCUGCAUCACCAUAGAGCCGGGGCUGCUACUAAAAGGAGACAUCUUGCUGAAAUGUUACCAUAAGAAGUAUCGCAGCCCGACCCGGGACGUUAUAUUCCGCGUGCAGUUCCACACGUGCGCCGUCCAUGAUCUGGGGGUCGUGUUUGGGAAGGAAGAUCUGGAUGAAGCAUUUAAAGAUGAAAGGUUCCCGGAAUAUGGGAAAGUGCAAUUCGUCUUCUCCUACGGCCCCGAGAAGAUCCAAGGUGAGGAGAGAAGGAACCUUCCUGCGUCUGUGUCAUGAAGGGAAGACAAGGAUUUG